rnacentral:rRNA from 1 species
UACAGGAGGGUGCGAGCGUUAAUCGGAAUUACUGGGCGUAAAGCGUGCGUAGACGGUUAUGUAAGUCGGGUGUGAAAGCCCCGGGCUCAACCUGGGAAUUGCAUUCGAGACUGCAUAGCUAGGAUGCGGAAGAGGGAAGCGGAAUUUCCGGUGUAGCGGUGAAAUGCGUAGAUAUCGGAAGGAACAUCAGUGGCGAAAGCGACUUCCUGGACCAGUACCGACGUUCAGGCACGAAAGCGUGGGGAGCAAACAGG